GAUGAACGCUGGCGGCGUGCCUAAUACAUGCAAGUCGAGCGAACAGACGAGGAGCUUGCUCCUCUGACAUUAGCGGCGGACGGGUGAGUAACACGUGGAUAACCUACCUAUAAGACUGGGAUAACUUCGGGAAACCGGAGCUAAUACCGGAUAAUAUAUUGAACCGCAUGGUUCAAUAGUGAAAGACGGUUUUGCUGUCACUUAUAGAUGGAUCCGCGCCGCAUUAGCUAGUUGGUAAGGUAACGGCUUACCAAGGCGACGAUGCGUAGCCGACCUGAGAGGGUGAUCGGCCACACUGGAACUGAGACACGGUCCAGACUCCUACGGGAGGCAGCAGUAGGGAAUCUUCCGCAAUGGGCGAAAGCCUGACGGAGCAACGCCGCGCGAGUGAUGAAGGUCUUCGGAUCGUAAAACUCUGUUAUUAGGGAAGAACAAAUGUGUAAGUAACUAUGCACGUCUUGACGGUACCUAAUCAGAAAGCCACGGCUAACUACGUG
rnacentral:rRNA from 1 species